UGCAAUACAUAACUCAUCUAACAAUAUAAAAAUUUCAUUAAACAGAGACGAUUUUAAUUGCCAAGCUUCAGCUUUCAGACUGCCCAAAAUACCUGCCUGAAAUAGUGGCGAGAAUAUUCAGCAUUAUAACCUCAUCAUCAAGUUCAGACUUUGCAGCUCGCAAGCUAGCACACUUACGGAGGAGGCUUCGAAGAGCAGCACUAGUGUCUGCAUCUAGUGGAGUGUCAACUGCUGCACAUAAAGCAAAGAGCCAAACACAAUCAUGUUUUGAUAGUGUGCUCAUGGUUUCUGCCAGGCUUAUGCGUUUCUUCAGCGCUGAUACUCGUGCUACAGAAUCCAUUGCUAAAAUAGCUGACAAUGUAGGGUGGUUGCAUG
rnacentral:misc_RNA from 1 species